rnacentral:rRNA from 1 species
CCUACGGGAGGCAGCAGUAGGGAAUUUUCGUCAAUGGGCGCAAGCCUGAACGAGCAAUGCCGCGUGAACGAGGAAGGUCUUCGGAUCGUAAAGUUCUGUUGAAGGGGAAAAAGAGCGGAGAGAGGAAAUGGUCUCCGAUUGAUAUUACCCUUCGAGGAAGUCACGGCUAACUCCGUGCCAGCAGCCGCGGUAAUACGUAGGUGGCGAGCGUUAUCCGGAAUGAUUGGGCGAAAAGGGUGCGUAGGCGGCCUGCUAAGUCUGGAGUGAAAGGUACCGGCUCAACCGGUACAGGCCCUGGAAACUGGCGGGCUAGAGAGCAGGAGAGGACGGUGGAACUCCAUGUGUAGCGGUAAAAUGCGUAGAUAUAUGGAAGAACACCAGUGGCGAAGGCGACCGCCUGGCCUGUUACUGACGUUGAGGCACGAAAGCGUGGGGAGCAAAUAGGAUUAGAUACCCCUGUAGUC